rnacentral:rRNA from 1 species
CGGGUGAGUAAUAUAUCGGAACGUGCACAGUCGUGGGGGAUAACGUAGCGAAAGCUAGCGCGAAUACCGGAUACGAUCUAUGGAUGAAAGCGGGGGAUCGCAAGACCUCGCGCGAUUGGAGCGGCCGAUAUCAGAUUAGCUAGUUGGUGGGGUAAAAGCCCACCAAUGCGACGAUCUGUAGCUGGUCUGAGAGGACGACCAGCCACACGUGGAACUGAGACACGGUCCAGACUCCUACGGGAGGCAGCAGUGGGGAAUUUUGGACAAUGGGCGAAAGCCUGAUCCAGCAAUGCCGCGUGCAGGACGAAGGCCUUCGGGUUGUAAACU